AUUGAACGCUGGCGGCAGGCUUAACACAUGCAAGUCGAACGAGUGGCGGACGGGUGAGUAAUGUCUGGGAAACUGCCUGAUGGAGGGGGAUAACUACUGGAAACGGUAGCUAAUACCGCAUACCAUCGGAUGUGCCCAGAUGGGAUUAGCUGGUUGGUGGGGUAAAGGCUCACCUAGGCGACGAUCCCUAGCUGGUCUGAGAGGAUGACCAGCCACACUGGAACUGAGACACGGUCCAGACUCCUACGGGAGGCAGCAGUGGGGAAUAUUGGACAAUGGGGGAAAGCCUGAUGCAGCCAUCCCGCGUGUAUGAAGAAGGCCUUCGGGUUGUAAAGUACUUUCAGCGGGGAGGCGUUACCCGCAGAAGAAGCACCGGCUAACUCCGUGCCAGCAGCCGCGGUAAUAC
rnacentral:rRNA from 1 species